CCUUAACCUGGUCUUGACAUAGUAAGAACUUUCCAGAGAUGGAUUGGUGCCUUCGGGAACUUACAUACAGGUGCUGCAUGGCUGUCGUCAGCUCGUGUCGUGAGAUGUUGGGUUAAGUCCCGCAACGAGCGCAACCCUUUUCCUUAUUUGCCAGCGGGUUAAGCCGGGAACUUUAAGGAUACUGCCAGUGACAAACUGGAGGAAGGCGGGGACGACGUCAAGUCAUCAUGGCCCUUACGACCAGGGCUACACACGUGCUACAAUGGUCGGUACAAAGGGUUGCUACCUCGCGAGAGGAUGCUAAUCUCAAAAAGCCGAUCGUAGUCCGGAUCGCAGUCUGCAACUCGACUGCGUGAAGUCGGAAUCGCUAGUAAUCGCGGAUCAGAAUGCCGCGGUGAAUACGUUCCCGGGCCUUGUACACACCGCCCGUCACACCAUGGGAGUUUGUUGCACCAGAAGUAGGUAGUCUAACCGUAAGGAGGACGCUUACCACGGUGUGGCAGAUGACUGGGGUGAAGUCGUAACAAGGUAAGCGUAGAUGA
rnacentral:rRNA from 1 species